rnacentral:rRNA from 1 species
UACAGAGGUCUCAAGCGUUGUUCGGAUUCAUUGAGCGUAAAGGGUGCGUAGGUGGCAUGGUAAGUCGGAUGUGAAAUCCCGGGGCUCAACCCCGGAACUGCAUUCGAUACUGCUGCGCUAGAGUACUGGAGAGGAGAUUGGAAUUUACGGUGUAGCAGUGAAAUGCGUAGAUAUCGUAAGGAAGACCAGUGGCGAAGGCGGAUCUCUGGACAGUUACUGACACUGAGGCACGAAGGCCAGGGGAGCAAACGGG